rnacentral:rRNA from 1 species
CCUACGGGAGGCAGCAGUGGGGAAUUUUGGACAAUGGACGCAAGUCUGAUCCAGCCAUUCCGCGUGCAGGACGAAGGCCUUCGGGUUGUAAACUGCUUUUGUACGGAACGAAAAAGCUCUUAUUAAUACUAGGAGUCCAUGACGGUACCGUAAGAAUAAGCACCGGCUAACUACGUGCCAGCAGCCGCGGUAAUACGUAGGGUGCAAGCGUUAAUCGGAAUUACUGGGCGUAAAGCGUGCGCAGGCGGUUAUAUAAGACAGAUGUGAAAUCCCCGAGCUUAACUUGGGAACUGCAUUUGUGACUGUAUAGCUAGAGUACGGCAGAGGGGGAUGGGAAUUCCGCGUGUAGCAGUGAAAUGCGUAGAUAUGCGGAGGAACACCGAUGGCGAAGGCAAUCCCCUGGGCCUGUACUGACGCUCAUGCACGAAAGCGUGGGGAGCAAACAGGAUUAGAUACCCUGGUAGUCCACGCCCUAAACGAUGUCAACUGGUUGUUGGGUCUUCACUGACUCAGUAACGAAGCUAACGCGUGAAGUUGACCGCCUGGGGAGUACGGCCGCAAGGUUGAAACGUCAAAUGAAAUUGACGG